GUCUCAUAACCCCAUACCGCACUAAACUUAACUGAUAGGUACAUUAAGCAGCAAUAUUUGUUUUGUCUGCCAAGUGUUAAAACAUUGUAUGACACCAAAUUAUGAUUGCAUAGGAAAUUUAAAAGGAUAAAAAUGAAGUUUUUCAUCUUCGUAUUGAUGAUAAGCUUGGGAAGAAACAGAGCCGUACCGAUAGAUGAUUUGGACCUGGAUGCACUGAUAACAAGCACAUUCGACACAGAUUCACGUUCAUUGACGACCCCCUCUCCAUCAGACUCCUUCGGAAUCCUUCAGCAGACUCCAGUGGUGGGUGAUGGGGAUUGUGAAUGUGUUCCCUACUAUCAAUGUAGUGCCAACAGGACUUUCAUAGAGGAUGGAGAGGGAAUAAUUGACAUCCGGGUGAAGGCAGGGUGUGAAAGCUAUAUAGAGGUUUGCUGUGGAGGUACAGAGAAGACUGACUAUCCCAUCACCCCAACCCCUCCAACAAUAAAACCUAGCUACGAUGUCUGUGGAGUACGCAACUCACAGGGCGUCAGCUCACUGCGUAUUACUGGUGACGUUGACAAUGAGGCUCAGUUUGGAGAGUUUCCAUGGAUGGUUGCGUUGACCAGUCUCCAGGAAGUGGAAGGCAGCAGUAUUGGUACUCUUGUCAGAGUGUACCAGUGUGGAGGCUCGCUGCUCAGUCCCACUGUGGUGCUCACUGCUGCUCACUGUGUCGCCAAUAAAACUGGGCUGAGUGUGAGAGCCGGGGAGUGGGACACACAGACGGACAAAGAGCCUCUACCGAUGCAGAUCUCUGCUGUGAGAGAUGUGGUGAUACAUGAACAGUACAACCCGCGAUCACUGCAUAAUGACGUGGCCCUGCUGCUGCUGGAGAAACCCUUGGAGUUAGACCUUCACAUCAGACCCAUCUGUCUGCCCAGCCAGGACGAGAGCAUGGACGGUCGACAGUGUGUGGUCAGCGGCUGGGGCAAAGAUGUCUUCGGCAAAGAAGGCAAGUACCAAGUAAUCCUGAAGAAGGUUGAAAAGCCAAUAGUAUCAAGAGAACCAUGUCUCAAGGCUCUUCGAAACACAAGGCUUGGACAGAGAUUUAAGUUGCACGAAUCCUUCAUAUGUGCGGGUGGAAUAAAGGGGCACGACACAUGUCAGGGAGAUGGUGGGAGCCCGCUUGUGUGCCCCUCAACCUUGGACCCUCAGGUAUACGUACAAGCUGGCAUUGUGGCGUGGGGCAUUGGAUGUGGCUCCGAGACUCCUAGUGUUUACGUCAGUGUUGCCCAAUUCAUCAACUGGAUAGAAAAUAAGAUGAGCGAAUAUGACAUUGACAUCAAAACAGAUUGAUCGGCGUGUUUGACUACCAGCGUUUGUAAUCCUUGGUAGUCUCAGAUACUUCCCCAAACUGUUUGAAGUGAUGGAACCAAGAUUUAAUAAAUACCAACCUGAAUUUAUAAGUAAAUAAAAUAUAAAUGAUCAAAAUAAAAAA